rnacentral:rRNA from 1 species
GAUCCUGGCUCAGGAUGAACGCUGGCGGCGUGCUUAACACAUGCAAGUCGAACGAGAGAAGAUCGGUGCUUGCACUGAUCCGAUCGAGUGGCGGACGGGUGAGUAACGCGUGGGUAACCGUGCCUCAUACAGGGGAAUAACAGUUGGAAACGGCUGCUAAAACCGCAUAAGCGCACGGUAUCGCAUGAUACAGUGUGAAAAACUCCGGUGGUAUGAGAUGGACCCGCGU